rnacentral:rRNA from 1 species
UACGAAGUGGGCUAGCGUUGCUCGGAAUCACUGGGCGUCAAGGGCGCGUAGGCGGACUCUUAAGUCGGGGGUGAAAGCCCAGGGCUCAACCCUGGAAUUGCCUUCGAUACUGAGAGUCUUGAGUUCGGAAGAGGUUGGUGGAACUGCGAGUGUAGAGGUGAAAUUCGUAGAUAUUCGCAAGAACACCAGUGGCGAAGGCGGCCAACUGGUCCGAUACUGACGCUGAGGCGCGAAAGCGUGGGGAGCAAACAGG